AAGUACAAAAAGCAAAAGAAACUGGUACUCGUCUUAAGUUACCAUCACAAAAAGUGCUAGAUUCCAUGUUAUCUCAGGAAGAAGUCAGCUUUGUUAAUGACGAAGAUAAGUUGAAGGCUUGUAAAAAGUGCGAAAUCAUGAAACGAAAUGUUACAGAGUUGAAAGAAAAAUGUGAACUUUUAUCUGGAGAAAAUGAAACACUUGGAGGAGAGCUUAUUCUGAAAGAUAAAGAACUGGCGAUAACAAAGGUUGUUGUUCAAAUUUUAGAAGAUGAUAAUCAUAAAAAAGUAUUGGAGUCAGAUACUCUGCGGUUGUUACAGUAAUUAGCAAAAAAUUGCUAUGGAAAAGCAUAGCAAGUUUCUCGACAUCCACAGAGCCACUAUGGAAGCUUCCACUUCUGAUGGAGGAGGAAAAUUCCCGGCGAUUGGAUUUAUUACUGAGGAUGGAGCUCAGUGGCGCACCACGUAGGAAUAUACGCCGAGCAGGUAAACAAGUGCGGGAAAGAUUAGAGCAGGCGAUAGCGCAAGCAAAUAUCAUCUCUGCAGUCAUUCAAGAGGAACCGGCCGAAUCCAGUUCCAUCGACCAGCGCCCCUCACAAAGCGAGACAAAUGUCCUGGGGACAAUAGGUUUCGUUGCGGAAUUUUCAGACCUCUUCAAGGCUGCACUCAACAGAGCCGAAGCGGCGAAACUUCUCUCAAAACAGUAAAAGAAGACAAUAGAGCACACGAAGAAAGGAAGGCGAGCCAAUAAUGUCAAUCGAUCUAAGGCUACGAUCAUCAAUAAUUAUCGAUUUAAUUUAAAUUAUCGAAUUAACUUUUAUCAAUAACUUAGUGAAGCCUUUAAAAAAAUCGAUCCCGAUUCACGCAGUUGAACCUACUGCGCGAAUUCCUGUAGAGCCAAACCGAAAAGUUUGGGAAGGUCCUGGCGAUAACGAAGUUAUUAUAAUAGAUCUACCUUUAGAAGAGGCUUUAGAGCAAAGGAGGGCGGUGCGAAAUCAAGAAAUUAGGGUUAUUAACGUGACGUCGAUCAACGUGCGGGAAGAUUCGGAUUCGGAAACAAUAACCACUCCGCUAGAAGCAGACGAAACCGAAGUACAGACGAUAACGUUAGAGUAGUAAUUUGGGGCAGCAAUCAGUUAUUGUAUCGGUCCCUUGCACCUCUUCCCUCGCACCCUUGGGACAUCCUAAGGCAAGCGGAAUACUGGGCCAAGUUGCUCAACGCGUUCUGGGUUUUUAAAAACUUAUCGAACUACCGAGCAUGCGCCCACAUAUAGGUUACGUCCAGGAUGAGUAACGGAAGUAAUGGGACAGAGGAAAACCAUGCCGUAGAGAGAGUCAAACCCAGGCUCAUAAAAACCUCCAGUUCACUCCGAUAAUAUGGCGAAUACGCAAAACUUUAGAGGCCCAGAAAUGGCGGACCCGGAACCUGCCAGGAUAAAUCUGAAUGCUUCUACGGUGGCGGAAAUGUAUAAUUCGCGCGCCUACAUUAGAUUUCAACAUAGCACGAACGCUCUUCGGCCGAACCCAGUAGGCAAUGCUGACAAUGCCGCGAUGUUUAUGGCACAAUCAAUCCCAGACACCCUUUGAAUUCAACAAGAAGCUAGUUAUAUCCGAAUUUACGGUGGAAAAAAUAUCUCAAUUAGGAGGCAGAGGGACUGCAGAAUACCCUCCACAACUACCGAGAACGUUUAGAGCGGACUGAGUCUCACUGUAGGCUCACUCUAAGCACUGACUGUGAGAAGUCAUUUUCAUACACCAGAUUAAGAACAACAAUGGCCACCACCGAAAUUCUACGCAACGAAUUAGUUGGCGCUAUACAAGAGCUAAAAGAACAUAGGCUCACGUGCCGUUAAACUGCCAACCAGUAGGCAUCGAAGAAAAAGCAUGUCACCGGGUACGCGACCGUCUCAUAUGUCACUCAACAUAGUCCAUCUACGACGUUGUUCUGGUCCAGAGUUGCGAGAUUGAAUUAUUACGACAUCCCUCAAUAGAAGCUCUGAGGAGCUGUGACAUUAGAAUCACCUACGACCAACAGCCGUACUGGAUUCCAAUAGGCACACUCGGAGGCUGGUUGUAUUGACUCAGUUUCCCUGAAACAGCCCGCCUUACUUGCAACGGGAAACCUACCCAAGAGCAUCGAAUAAGUAGAGUAGGUCUGAUUCAAAUAGCCUUUGGGUGUUGAUUAUGAACCGAGAACACAGUAUUACCAGCAAUUACACUUAAGGAAAACAUGCAAGAAUACGUGCAUGAGACACCACUGGCGUUAGAUCUGGUCGAAGUAUCCCCCAUCCUUGCCCGAAAUCCGAAGAAUGUCAAAGUUUUGCCCGUCACAACAGAAAGUAGUUCCAAACCAUGGCAAAGGACGGACACUGAUGAAACGCUCGCAGAACUUGAAGACAAGUUGUUAGAGCUAGAGAAAAGUCGACACCAUAUAGAGCUAGGAGACCAAUAUCGUCGUUGUGCUAUGCUUGUCGCAGAGACCAACCAAAUUUUCAGAGAAGGGAUAAGACGGAGCAGAACUCAGCCAUCUAGAGUAUCCCUAACAACUCGCGUUCCAUGUCUGGAGGCACGAAGAGCAGGGAUAAGAAAGCCAAGGAGCACACGUCAGAGUCGGCACCUCGGCUAAACCAGCCGACCAGGGAGGCGGAAGAAGUCAUAAGUUUGAGGCAGGAGCCUAAACCAGCACGGCCUACAAUGCGUAAAGUCCCUCCGCAGGAUAUAGAGGGUCUUGAAAGUGAAGUGGAGUGUGACAAUAAGUGAAAAAGGGGGUUAGGCGGUGAAAAGAAAAAGGGGCUUUAGACAAACCAGUGCCGUAACAAAAUCAAUAUCGGGAAAAUAUGUAUAAAAUAAGAAAAAGGACUCUAUCAUCAACAUUUUACCGGGUUUUACAAUUAUCACUGCAGCCGUCAAGGGACGGCGGUCAUAAAAAGGCAAGAUGGGUUGUUACAACCAAGAUUACUUUCUUCUAAUUAGUUAGCACUAUCCACUCAGGAGGAUAAAAAGAGAAACAUAGAGUGCAAACUCAGCAUUUCCUGUCGUCUGGUAGCGGUAAGAAGCAAGGUACAUACAUAGCAAGGUGCAUACUCGCGCCUGGGAUUAGCGGCGGAGUAACACCUUAUGCGAAACCACAAUCCUAGUAGUUGUGGAGGACGAACGACGGUGCACGGCAGGGAGAUGCCGCACGGUCAAUUAAAGUAGUUCCUCCCUACCCAUUAAAACCAAGCUCCCUGCACCUUCGAUUGCACAUUAUCUAAUUGUCGCAGAAGCCAGUAGGUCGCCCGGCAGUUUAACUGUUCCUGUAAUACAGUUCAGGUCGCGGUCUUUCUUUUCUCGCGUUUUCUUUGCCCGUCUCUCGGUUCUGUCGUGAGACAAAAAUUAAUUAACGCAAAGAAAAUAGAGGCUUCGAAUUUAAAUCAAAUUCAUUGAUUUAAAUUAUUUUCUGAUCAUAUACUCUCUGUUUCUCCAAAGUCUGGGGUGACUACCAUUGUAUCAAAUCACUGGCUGUUCCUCGUUCCCUAUUAUAUGGAAGAGUUUCGAGCCUAGUCUUCUGUAUUC